rnacentral:rRNA from 1 species
GAUGAACGCUGGCGGCGUGCCUAAUACAUGCAAGUCGAGCGAACGGACGAGAAGCUUGCUUCUCUGAUGUUAGCGGCGGACGGGUGUGUAACACGUGGAUAACCUACCUAUAAGACUGGGAUAACUUCGGGAAACCGGAGCUAAUACCGGAUAAUAUUUUGAACCGCAUGGUUCAAAAGUGAAAGACGGUCUUGCUGUCACUUAUAGAUGGAUCCGCGCUGCAUUAGCUAGUUGGUAAGGUAACGGCUUACCAAGGCAACGAUGCAUAGCCGACCUGAGAGGGUGAUCGGCCACACUGGAACUGAGACACGGUCCAGACUCCUACGGGAGGCAGCAGUAGGGAAUCUUCCGCAAUGGGCGAAAGCCUGACGGAGCAACGCCGCGUGAGUGAUGAAGGUCUUCGGAUCGUAAAACUCUGUUAUUAGGGAAGAACAUAUGUGUAAGUAACUGUGCACAUCUUGACGGUACCUAAUCAGAAAGCCACGGCUAACUACGUGCCAGCAGCCGCGGUAAUACGUAGGUGGCAAGCGUUAUCCGGAAUUAUUGGGCGUAAAGCGCGCGUAGGCGGUUUUUUAAGUCUGAUGUGAAAGCCCACGGCUCAACCGUGGAGGGUCAUUGGAAACUGGAAAACUUGAGUGCAGAAGAGGAAAGUGGAAUUCCAUGUGUAGCGGUGAAAUGCGCAGAGAUAUGGAGGAACACCAGUGGCGAAGGCGACUUUCUGGUCUGUAACUGACGCUGAUGUGCGAAAGCGUGGGGAUCAAACAGGAUUAGAUACCCUGGUAGUCCACGCCGUAAACGAUGAGUGCUAAGUGUUAGGGGGUUUCCGCCCCUUAGUGCUGCAGCUAACGCAUUAAGCACUCCGCCUGGGGAGUACGACCGCAAGGUUGAAACUCAAAGGAAUUGACGGGGACCCGCACAAGCGGUGGAGCAUGUGGUUUAAUUCGAAGCAACGCGAAGAACCUUACCAAAUCUUGACAUCCUUUGACAACUCUAGAGAUAGAGCCUUCCCCUUCGGGGGACAAAGUGACAGGUGGUGCAUGGUUGUCGUCAGCUCGUGUCGUGAGAUGUUGGGUUAAGUCCCGCAACGAGCGCAACCCUUAAGCUUAGUUGCCAUCAUUAAGUUGGGCACUCUAAGUUGACUGCCGGUGACAAACCGGAGGAAGGUGGGGAUGACGUCAAAUCAUCAUGCCCCUUAUGAUUUGGGCUACACACGUGCUACAAUGGACAAUACAAAGGGCAGCGAAACCGCGAGGUCAAGCAAAUCCCAUAAGGUUGUUCUCAGUUCGGAUUGUAGUCUGCAACUCGACUACAUGAAGCUGGAAUCGCUAGUAAUCGUAGAUCAGCAUGCUACGGUGAAUACGUUCCCGGGUCU